AUCCUCUGCAGAUUUCUUAUCCUUCAUAUCUCAGUAUUGGUCUGAAGGGAUGAAAAGGAGGAAAAAUAAAACUGAAGGGGACUUGGUGCCUUUAGUGAGCUACAGUUCAUUUCAAACAAAG
rnacentral:snoRNA from 1 species